rfam:Citrobacter rodentium ICC168, complete genome
UAUUACCUUCGUGAUGUGGUUAUUGUAAUCUCAAUCUAUUGAUUACAUAGGGCAAUAUUUUAUUGCCCUUUUAUUUUA